rnacentral:rRNA from 1 species
UACGGAAGGCAGCAGGGGGAAUAUUGCACAAUGGGCGCAAGCCUGAUGCAGCCAUGCCGCGUGUAUGAAGAAGGCCUUCGGGUUGUAAAGUACUUUCAGUCGUGAGGAAGGUGUUAAGGUUAAUAACCUUAGCAAUUGACGUUAGCGACAGAAGAAGCACCGGCUAACUCCGUGCCAGCAGCCGCGGUAAUACGGAGGGUGCGAGCGUUAAUCGGAAUUACUGGGCGUAAAGGGCACGCAGGCGGUUAAUUAAGUUGGAUGUGAAAUCCCCGGGCUUAACCUGGGAAUGGCAUUCAAGACUGGUUAGCUAGAGUCUUGUAGAGGGGGUAGAAUUCCACGUGUAGCGGUGAAAUGCGUAGAGAUGUGGAGGAAUACCGGUGGCGAAGGCGGCCCCUGGACAAGACUGACGCUCAUGUGCGAAAGCGUGGGAGCAAACAGGGAUUAGAUACC